GACCUGUAGACGCACUCGGAAGCGCACCCACCAUAACUUACGAUGACGAAUCAGGAUUAUGUGGGAGGCCCCAGUUCGACUCUGGGAUGGGUCA